CGCCACAACCCUCUCCCACAUCCCGAUUCGAUCUGCGGGAAGCGCGAGGCCGACGAGAAGCGCACCAGCACCCCGCGCCGACCACGACUUCGCUGCAACGCUGACCACGACGCUACCCGUGCCGAACACCGCCGUCGCCGGAACGCCACUCUCCCUAACCGCCGGACGCGCGCCUCGCCGACCCCGACUUCCUCGCCUCCAUCCUUGACUCGAUUGACGUGAUGGCACCCGCCGGCACCAGCUUGUCCGCCCCGCCAACGACCAACGGUUCGAAUGCUAUGAACCUUUUGAAUGCCAUCCCAGAAUUAGAUGGCAGGAACUAUGGGAAGUGGUACCAGAAGCUAGAAAUCACUCUGGCGAUGGCCAACAUAGAUUCAGCCAUCAAUAUGCCUCAGCCAAAAGAACCAGAAAAGCCCGUGAGGGCUCAGAAUGAAACUGACGCUGCAUUUGCUGUUCGUUAGAAGAAAUAUGAUGAAGAAAAGACCUUGUAUGACAUUGAGAUGGCACCGUGGGCGGAUUCAAACCGCAAGUGCUUAAUGAUCAUUAAAGGUUCUAUCUCAGACCCCAUCAGAAUGGCAAUCACUGAUUGGCCCACCGCUGCAGAAUACCUCCAGAAAAUAAAGAGUCAGUUCACUGGCUCUUCCAAGGCUUAUGCUGCUACUCUUGCAGAGCAGCUAAUUACAAAGAAAUACAGUGGUGGUGGAAUCAGAGAGCACAUCCUAGAGAUGAGCCACAUGGCUAACAAGCUAAAGACAAUGGACAUGCCUUUGCCAGAACCGUUCCUUGUCCAGGUUGUUUUCAAGUCCCUUCCAAAGGAGUUUGCGACAUUUCAUGUCAAUUACAACACCUUUCCAGAAAACUGGGACAUUGAGAAGCUGAUUGCCAUAUGUGUUCAGGAAGAAAAAAGGCUAAAAAACGCCAAUGGUGGUGGUGAACUUGUCUUCCAAGUCCAGUACCAGAAGAAAAAGAACCCCCAAAAGAAUUACCAGAACUACAAGAAGCCCUUCCCGCCAAGCAAGAAUCAGCAUGAAAGUGGUCCUUUCAAACCACCUCCACGCGAAAUUGAUUGGUCAACAUUCCCAGUUGAUAAAGACCAGUGCCUCAAAUGCAAAAAAAAAGGUACUACAAGAGGGAAUGCCCAGAGUUUCUGAAGGAGCUGUUAAGAAAUGGGAACAAGUAUGAGCCGGACCCUGCCAAGAGGAGGAAGAAGAAUUAAAGUGACAAACGGUGUAGAAGCUGAAGUUGAAGCCAUCGCAGAAUUUCAUUUAGAAUUACAUAGUGGCUUUGUACUUCAUUUGAAAGAUGUUCUUUAUGUACCGUCGUUGCAAAGAAACUUAAUUAGUGUGUCUAAGUUGGAUGAUGAUUUGAUUGCUUGUCAUUUUGGAGAUGGCAAGUGUGAGAUACACUUUAAUAAAGAAUGUGCUGGUCUUGCCUUCCGACAAGACAAGUUGUACUUA